rnacentral:rRNA from 1 species
GUGGGGAAUAUUGGACAAUGGGCGCAAGCCUGAUCCAGCCAUACCGCGUGGGUGAAGAAGGCCUUCGGGUUGUAAAGCCCUUUUGUUGGGAAAGAAAUCCUAUCGGUUAAUAACCGGUGGGGAUGACGGUACCCAAAGAAUAAGCACCGGCUAACUUCGUGCCAGCAGCCGCGGUAAUACGAAGGGUGCAAGCGUUACUCGGAAUUACUGGGCGUAAAGCGUGCGUAGGUGGUGGUUUAAGUCUGCUGUGAAAGCCCUGGGCUCAACCUGGGAAUUGCAGUGGAUACUGGAUCACUAGAGUGUGGUAGAGGGAUGCGGAAUUUCUGGUGUAGCAGUGAAAUGCGUAGAGAUCAGAAGGAACAUCCGUGGCGAAGGCGGCAUCCUGGGCCAACACUGACACUGAGGCACGAAAGCGUGGGGAGCAAACAGGAUUAGAUACCCCGGUAGUCC